UCUCACUCACUCACACACUCACUCUCACACACUCUUAAACUCAGGAAGAGUUAACAAGCUGAUUAGUCUUUAAUGAGCCGAUUCAUUGAAUCAGGUGUGGUCGAGGAGGAAAACACUGAGCUACUAUGAGCUACUAACUCAUUGAUGAACAGUCAGCAAGCACUGAUAGCAGUUGAAGAAUGAUGCAGGGAUACUGAACUAAAAAAGAAGCCAGGGGGCACACGAGCCCAUCAUGCCGUUUUUGGCAGAGUUGAGGAUGGAUUCCGGUAGAGGGAUGGAGUGACGGACCAUGGCGCCAUACAGACCGUAUUCGGCCAUCACGCUGCUACGGCCCCAGCACU